rnacentral:rRNA from 1 species
GAUACCCUAUUAUUUUGANUGUNAANNNNNNAUCUUUAAUUAUUANUAGUUAAGUUCUUCAAAAUCAAACAAUUUGGCGGUAUUUUAGUCUAUUCAGAGGAACCUGUUUUUUAAUCGAUGGUCCACGAUAAUUUUUACUUUAACUUUAAAUUUACAUAUCGUCGUUAAUAAAAAUUUUAGGAGGAUUAUAAUUUUUAAGGUACGUUAUUAUGUCUUAUUUCAGAUCAAGGUGUAGUUUAUAAUAAAGUUAAAAUGGGUUACAUU